UACGGAGGGUGCAAGCGUUAUCCGGAUUCACUGGGUUUAAAGGGUUCGUAGGAGGACAGGUAAGUCAGUGGUGAAAUCUCCGAGCUUAACUUGGAAACUGCCGUUGAUACUAUCUGCCUUGAAUAUCGUGGAGGUAAGCGGAAUAUGUCAUGUAGCGGUGAAAUGCUUAGAUAUGACAUAGAACACCAAUUGCGAAGGCAGCUUACUACCCGAAUAUUGACACUGAGGCACGAAAGCGUGGGGAUCAAACAGG
rnacentral:rRNA from 1 species